rnacentral:rRNA from 1 species
UACGUAGGGGGCAAGCGUUGUCCGGAUUUAUUGGGCGUAAAGAGCGUGUAGGCGGCCAGAUAGGUCUGUUGUGAAAACUCGAGGCUCAACCUCGAGACGCCGAUGGAAACCAUCUGGCUAGAGUCCGGAAGAGGAGAGUGGAAUUCCUGGUGUAGCGGUGAAAUGCGCAGAUAUCAGGAAGAACACCCGUGGCUAAGGCGGCCCUCUAGUACGGUACUGACGCUGAGACGCGAAAGCGUGGGGAGCGAACAGG